rnacentral:rRNA from 1 species
GUGAGGAAUAUUGGGCAAUGCCCGCAAGGGUGACCCAGCAACGCCGCGUGGAGGAUGAAUGUCGUAAGAUUGUAAACUCCUGUUAGAGGGGAAGAAUAGCACCGGUUGGACCGGUAUAUGACUGUACCCUCAGAGAAAGCCCCGGCUAACUACGUGCCAGCAGCCGCGGUAAUACGUAGGGGGCAAGCGUUGUCCGGAUUUACUGGGUGUAAAGGGCGCGCAGGCGGGAUAAAAAGUCAGUGGUGAAAUCCUACAGCUUAACUGUAGAACUGCCUUUGAUACUUUUAUUCUUGAGUUCGGGAGAGAGAGACGGAAUUCCAGGUGUAGUGGUGAAAUACGUAGAUAUCUGGAAGAACACCAGUUGCGAAGGCGGUCUCUUGGUCCGACACUGACGCUGAGGCGCGAAAGCGUGGGGAGCAAACA